CGCCAUAUUGCCUUCCUCUUGCUCCGCGGUAAGAUGGGGGUGAAGCGCGGCCGUUGCCACCACUCCUGACUCAUCGCCGAGCUUCAGCUCCUCCAGUUUGACUCCUGAGAGUGCCGACGGCCCUUCUCAUCCUCGACAUCCGACAGAAAGGAGCGAAGGUGUUGAGCCAUGGAGGCCGUCAAAGCCUUUAAUAACGAGUUGUACUCAUUGAAUGAGUAUAAACCACCCAUCUCCAGGGCCAAAAUGAACCAGGUGACAAAGGCGGCUAUCAAGUCUAUUAAGUUCUACAAACAUGUGGUUCAGAGCGUGGAAAAGUUUAUUCAAAGGUGUAAACCAGAAUACAAAGUCCCAGGGCUGUAUGUUAUCGACUCAAUUGUGCGUCAGUCUCGUCAUCAGUUUGGUCCAGAAAAGGAUGUGUUUGCGCCCAGAUUUUGCAAGAACAUCAAUACAACUUUCCAAAACUUGUACAAAUGUCCUGCUGAUGACAAGAGUAAAGUAGUGCGGGUACUGAACUUGUGGCAGAAGAAUGGAGUGUUCAAAAGUGAGAUCAUACAACCACUUCUGGACCUAGCAACUGGGAUUCCGCCACCAUCUGUCGCCCCUGCUGUUGCCAGUACUACUGCAGCAACUGUGAGCAGCAACACACCAGGAACUCCAGCCACCCCUGCUACUCCAGCUAAUGUCAUGCAAAACUUACCUGAUGCGUGGGCCUCCAUCUCUCAGCUGUCAAACACAGACACGAUUGCUGCUGUUGCACAGCUUCUGCAGAGUCCCCAGGGUCAACAGCUCCAGCAGUUGGUGCAAAGUCUUCAGAUGCAGCAGCAAAAACCUCAGCCUUCUCUGCUUCAGGCUCUUGAUGCUGGGCUUGUAGUUCAACUGCAGGCGCUUACAGCCCAGCUUACAGCAGCUGCAACUGCUAAUACACUCAAUCCACUGGAGCAGCGACUCAAUUUUAAUAAGAAACUCCUUGACAGAUUUGAGUAUGAAGAAGAACAGGAUCAUUCAGAGGAAACCAAGAAAGAAACAUCUGCAUCCCAGCUACCUCUUGUAACUGAGACCAUGAACACAUCACUUUUUCAGCAGCUGGCUGAGCAAUUCCAGCAGCAAAACUUCGAGCAACUUCGGCAACAGAUAUUGGAGCAACAGCAGACACAGCAGAAUGCAACUUUGGACAAUCAGGAAGUAAGUUUUGGAUCUGAACAGUCAGUGACCCCUUCCCAGAGCAGCACUCAUCAGCAACAAGAGCAAGAGAUCAGAGUGGAGGAUCCACUUGAGCAACAACAACAGAUGCCAUGGGUUAUUAAGGAUAUGGAUAUUGAUGCACCUGAUGGUCAGGACCUUAUUGAAGAAGACAUCUUUCAGCAUGAAGAAAAAAAGCCUUUAGUACGUUCAAGAUCUCUGACACACUCAAGAUCUCGUUCAAGAUCACCUCGAAAGAAAAGGUCCAGAUCCCGCUCAGGGUCUCGCAAGCGCAAACAUCGGAAACGCUCUCGCUCAAGAUCAAAAGAAAGAAAAAGGAAGUCGUCUCGAUCCUAUUCCAGUGAAAGACGAGCAAGGGAGCGUGAAAAGGAACGCCAGAAAAAGGGUCUACCACCUAUCCGUUCGAAAACACUUAGUGUAUGCAGUACUACACUGUGGGUUGGUCAGGUAGACAAAAAGGCAACACAACAAGAUAUAACCAAUCUCUUUGAGGAGUUCGGCCAGAUUGAAUCAAUAAAUAUGAUACCACCUCGAGGAUGUGCAUACGUUUGUAUGGUUCAUCGACAAGAUGCUUUUCGUGCUCUUCAGAAACUAAGCACUGGAUCCUUUAAAAUGGGGUCUAAAAUUAUUAAGAUUGCUUGGGCUUUAAAUAAAGGUGUGAAACCUGAAUAUAAGCAGUUUUGGGAUGUGGACCUUGGCGUUACAUAUAUUCCAUGGGAAAAAUUGAAAUUAGAUGAUUUGGAAGGCUUUUCUGAGGGAGGCAUGAUCGACCAGGAAACUGUUAAUAGUGAGUGGGAGUCAAGGAACACUGAGCCUGUAAAAGAGAAUGUGAUCCAACCUGUAACUACUGAAAGCACUCAACCAACAUCACAAGGAGAGACAUUCACACAAGCUGUCACUAUGCUACCUGUUCAGAUCCCAGUGACUCCAACUGUUUCAGCGAUUAGCAUGGUGCAGCCACCAGCCUUUCCUGUAUCAAUGUCUAUCCCUCCUCCAGGCUUCAACCCAGCCAUUCCACCACCUCCAUUUUUACGGCACAGUUUUAAUCCUUCGCAACCACCACCAGGUUACCUACCACCGCCACCAGUCGUUCCACCUCCAGUUGUUGGGCCUUCUAUUCCUCCAGUACAAACCUCUCUAGUUUGCCCGCCUCUUUCCAACACCCAAGACAGUACAAAGGAUUCCCCGUUUGGGAACCUACUUUCACACAUAGGCUCUGGGCACAGCAAUCUCCCAGCUCCUAGUAUUCCACCAGGGAGUAUGUUUAAUCCAAUUGGCACACAGCCUCUCUCUUCUGGUCCAGGUGGAUCAAAUGACUUAGGGGCACCACGCACAGGUAGCCAAACGUCAUCAUCUGAAACAACAUCUACUUCUGGGCCAGGAACUCAAAGUACAGUUUCAACUGGGUCAGUUCUGGGAUUGCAACCAUCAACACCUGCACCAGGACUACCCAAUUUGCCACCUCCAAGUAUGGUUGGACCAAGGAUACCUGGAGUACUCCCACUGGACGUGCGUCCCGGAAUGAUGCCACCAUCGCCAGGACAGCGGUUUCCAUUGCUGAUGCCCCCUCAGCCGAACCUGCCCCCUCAGCCAAACCUGCCCCCUCAGCAAAGCAUGCCUCCUUCGUUAUCAAUUGACAGACCUCUUCACUCAGGGUCCAGAGCUCCCUUUCCACCAGUAAGUUCUUUCAGUAGGCUUGAAGGAGCAUUUACAAGAUCUGCAGUCCCCAGUUCUGAGAGCAGUACUAAUGCAAGCCAAGGUACUGCAGAUGAAAGAAGAUCUACUGGAAAUGAUCAUUCUUUUCAGCGAAACAACAUACAACAAGAAGGUGAUCGGGAUUAUCGCUUCCCACCAGUGGAUAACAGCGACAGUCUUGGAAGACGUGAUCAAUUUGCAUUUGGUCCUGACCAAAGAUGGGGCUCGAGAGAUUUUGAUGAACGUGAGCGUCGUGCCAUGCCCUUUGGUGGUCCUAAAGGUUUUCAUGAUGAUCAUGAAGCAUAUAGUGGAAGAAAUUUCAGGUUUGAUGGAAGAAGUGGUCCGAUAUGGAACCGGAGUUUUGACCAGGAAACCCAUAGGGAUCUUGAUGAUCGCAGUAGGCCUUGGGAACGCCAGAGAGAUCGUGACGACCGAGAUUUUGGCUUUCGCCGAGAUGUAAAUGGAAACCGUUUUGGAAGAGACAGAGAGCAAGAUCACUGGGUUCCUCCUCGGCAUAGGUUUGACUAUUUUCAAGGGACCACUGAUCACCAAAAACCUGAUGAUAGGCCUCGGGUAAAUGGUGACUUCUCAGAAACAAACAGCCAGACACCAAACAAGGAGCUCGCAAACAAUGACCCUGAAGUGUCUGUGAACCUUGCAUCUCCAUCAGAUGGAAGUGUGGAGAAGGAUGACUUAGAAAAUCAACCUGUAACCGAAAACACAGAUACCGAGGGGACAUAAUUGUCAUACGGUAUGGCAAUAUUUUGUAUAGGUGGUCAUCUGCAGUGGACAAAAUGGUUGACUGGAACUUGAGAAAAGUCACUGUUGUCUGCGAGACAAUUUAAUCCGAUGUACAUCCUUUCACUCUAAUAACUGAAGUUAAUGUGUACAACUGACCUGUACAGACUGUUGUUCUUUAGUUGAACACGAAUGUUGGAGAAUUAAGAAAACAGUAUCUGGAAGGGAGAUGCUGUUCAACCUUCAGACAGUGAGCAGUCCCUCUAGCUGAUUUUGCAGGAGCAUUGCUUGAAUACUUGUGGAACUGGCUUCAAGAAGAAUAUUAGUGUUAGUGGCCUGAGGAUUUGGUAGAGACUUUGCUGAUGAAAUUUCUCUAGUGUUCUUAUGGGUUGCUGAUACAAAGUAUACUAAAAUUUGGUGACAGCAACUACCCUGUACACUAAAACUUUUGCUGACUUACAGAAGUCUUUGUUAUUAAACAUGCACCUAAGCAGACUUUGCAUUGACCUAACUCCUUCAAACACACAAUCCAGGAGGGGUGCCAGUUUUUUUGAUUUGGGAAUGCCUACAUAAAAUUUAAUAUUUCUUCUGGCAGAAAAAGGAUACUUUUUAUAGUUACAUGAUGUUCAGCUUUGUCAGCAGUAGGGUGCCAUUUACAUUGGCCUUUCUGAUUCUAUUUUUCCCAUUAGUGCUUUUCUAAAUAUUGGAAUCACAAUCAAUCCUAGCAUUAAACUCCACCAAAAUGGUAAUCUUGUUAUAUUUUGGGAUAGCAGUGAAGACAAGGUUAGAAUAGAAAUGUUCUGUUGUCUUCAUUAGAGUUGAAGGUUCGUGAAUAAACAUUGAUACACGACAUUUGGUUAUCACUGAGCUGUAGGUGAGGUGUAAUUUUUAUACAACUGGGACAUUCUGUCAGUGCAUCACAGAUCUUAUUCCAGAUGACAAAACCAAUCCAUGGACAUGUAUUUAAUCUGUCUGUUUCAGCAUAAAAUUUAUCCUAUACAUGUUUACUCAGCUACCAUUCCCUGGAAGGCUGGAUUUCAUUGCGGGCAUUGUUGUCUAUGUAGACUCUUGGUAACUCAUGUGGUACAUUUUGAAGUUCCACUUUCAGGAUGGUCAGUUUCAAGAUUAUCCAUGAGUACUUACUCGUUUCAAGUUGCAAAAUUCAAAGUUUUCUUUCUUUAAUAAGCAAAAACAUGCUCUAACAGGGUGUGGAGGAGGUGAUCCAGCCUAUUUUUAGUGCAUUCUUAUUAGCGCAUACCCCUCCCUAUCCUUUGGGGUGACCAGAGGGUAGAAGACUUUUCAGUUUCAAAUGUUGCUGCCCAAACGCACCUCUGUUCCAAUACAGGUGCCCAUAAGACUCUGUUGCUUGUGUGCACAUUUCUGACCCAGCACUACCAGAUUCACAAUUCUAUCACUGUUGCCAAUUCUCCAUCAACAUGGAAUUUAGCAAAUCAAACCUGGUAGAAACCGGGAUGUGAUUCUACUUGAUGCAUAGGACAUUGUCCACACAACCUCAACGGAUUGAUGGUCAGAUCGAGAUCAGCUCACCAUCUUCUGCCUUUGUGGCUGGGUAGACAUACAGACUUCCUUUGUCUAAUCUGUUAAUGCAUUAAUGGACAGCAGUCUUUUUGGCACCUUUUAUCAUUGCUACCGUGGAUAGCCCUACCAUGAGUAUGGAGCUCUGAACAACAUUGUUCAAGGGAUCAUUGAUACAAUCAAGCCUCUUCACUAUGCCAAAGUGCUGUGGAGGAAGAUGAGCAGAAUAGUCGGCAGAAUUUGUACCUGAAUGGGCAUUUCUACUGCUGAUUUUGAAUUUGCUGCUUUAACAACCAGCCACACCACCUGGUUCUAGUAACUCAGUAUUUUUUUCAUCAGCAUCAUUCAAUCUGCAAUAUUUGGGAAUGUCGCAAAUAAUUCAUUUCAGAUGGGAUGUUUUAAAGUGGUGCACCUUUGCUGUUAGCAGAAGAGGCCAAUCCUUCAGAGGCAGGUUCUGCUGUAGGUGCUCUAAAUGGAGUUUUGUGUCAUUGUGAGUUGUUUUCAGUGUUGGCACUUCUUGCGAAGCUGCUACAGUUGUUCAUCUUAGUGGUACACUCAAUUGACCGGAGCUAUGAUCACUUUCCUCUGUCACCAGCUAGUGGCUUCUAGUUGUGAUGAUCAUUGUUUAGGCCCUUUACUUCAUGAUUGCAUGCAUCCUCAAAGAGCAGCUUUUGCUUUCCCAUUGGUUGUCUGACUUUGGCUGCCUUAACAUACAGAACAUCCUUGGGCAUGCAACCAUCUUUCGUCUUCCACACAUGCCCAAGCCAAUGAAGGUAACCAACUAGAAGUUCUGCAUUUGAGAGGACUGCUUCGUUUGUGAGUUUCUACAUGUAAUGUCCCACAAAUAGUGAAGAUGGAAUUUUUUGAUUGUUUGAUAAUUGUAAGUCAUCCAUGAUUCAAAGCCAUAAAACAAGAUGGUGAGAACAUAGACCUUUAACCAUCAACUUGAACUUAGUCCAUGUGUAUUUCUUGAGUUGGCCAAAGAUAUCUGCCUUCCUUACAUGUGUAUCAAGCUCUUCAUCAAGAGGCUAUGUCAAUAUUAUAAUUCUAAUAUUAGUAAGAUAAUGUACCACUGGAGCUCACUUUCUUUGUUUUAUCUGCUUCAAACAUUAAUGAGAUGCUCCAGUUAAUGUUAAUUUCCAGAACAAUUGGAAAGAUUAAAGAAUGCCAAAUGUUCCAAAAACUUAUGAUACCCCAUAUUUGGGAGUGGAAAAAAAUAGCCCUCUGGUUUCUUCUUUUUCUGGUUCCAAAUGUUCAAGCUAAUGGAUCAUUCACUAACAUGAGGGGGAAUCAUGCUUUUUCUACAUUUUAAUGCAGCCAUUUGAGUUCAUGCUAAUAACCUUCAGUUCAAGGUAAAAACAUCGAUCCUUAAUUUAUAAUUGGCAAUAUAGCAGGAGCGUUUUGCAAAUCUCAAAGAUAGUGAGCAAUUUCAUGAUCUUCAACGAGAAGUUAACAUCUCUCAAUUUACAACCGAUUGAAGCAUUGUUUGAUGGUGAUUCCCAGUAUCAAUUUGCAGUAAUGGCGUUAAAUUGUCUAAGCAGCCAAUCACAUGAAAUAAUUUUCACACACUUCAAACAAAUAUUGGGACGUCACAUGGUGUAUGAAUCUGAAAUAUUAUUAAAACACACCUUUUAAAUUUAAUUAUUUUGAAAAUGUAGUUUGAAUGAGACGUUUUCUGAAAUUCCACAUUUUGUACAGGAGCAGAUUAGUGGAUUCAGCUUUUGUUAUUAUUUAGAUUGCUGUUAAGCAUCCAGUUGUACCUCAUUGAGUAGUGCUUAAUUUUUAACAAAGUUUCAUAAUAGUUGUAUUAUAUUAGAAAAUGUAAGCUGUCAACAAAAAGCAAUUACUUGUUUAAUUGCUGGCUGAGUGGAGAGAGAGCUUUGGUGGGUGCUGUGUACAAAAGUCUACAAAUAGUCUCAGGUAGAACAAUGAAUGAAAGACUGAAACUUCAGGAUUUCUGUGUUGAUCUGUGUUUGUACCAAAUCCUGAAGUUGCAGUUAGGCUCUGAGGAAUAAUACUGGUAAACACUGACAGUUCACCAUCAAAACCCCACAAAACAAUAGCUAGAGUCUACCACUCGCUAUAUCCAGAACUCACUACUGCUGAGCUAUCUGAGAAUAAACUGGCACCCUGCGACACACAUCAUCUUUUAGAGGCUGGUGUGAUCUAAACAAGCACUUGUCAGUCUGAGGUUUCCCUAAAGAAUACAUGACAUUUGUCCCAGAUGAGGCAGAUAAAGGGAAACUGGCAUCUCAUUUUACCUAUAGGGUGGUGCAGACCGUAGAUGCCCUCUUCACCCAUGACCAACUGAGAAGUCACGCCAUCAGAUCCUGCAAGCCUGAGCAGAGAUUGCCACCCAGUCUGUGAUCUCUGACGUUUGGAAGACUACUGACUGCCUGUCCUAAGGUUUGGCAAUUCUGGGCUAGACAAGAACUUGCAAGAAAGGGAGGACUCAGUAUCGUGAUCCAAGUUGAUACCAUUGACAUAGAACUAGGAAAGAGGUUCUGUUGGAGAAGUAUGAGAAGCUAGGCACUAAUUUACAAAGCAGAACCUUAUAAGUAAUAAACUGAAGAUUGUAAUUUAUGCCAUGUGCAAAUUGGCAUAAAACGAAUAUUUUGAAAUGAAUGCAUGGCUCAAAGACUGCUUUAAGAAAAGUUGGUUCCAGCUGUGGGGCACUGACAGUGGUGCUGGGGAGGUGGGAUCCAUCUGAACCAUGCACGGAUUGAUGUUCUAGUGAGUGGCUUAGCUAGGGAAGUAAAGAGGGCUUACAAAUAAGUAAGGAUUAAAGGAUCAAGCUUGGGUAGAUAUAGCAAAUAUAAAGGUAUAGAGUCAGGAGAGCAAAA